rnacentral:rRNA from 1 species
CUAACAAGGAUUCCCCUAGUAACGGCGAGUGAAGCGGGAAGAGCUCAAGCUUAAAAUCUCCGUGUAAGUUUUGCACGGCGAAUUGUAGUCUAUAGAGGCGUGGUCAGCGUGGGCGCUUGGGGCAAGUUCCUUGGAAGAGGACAGCAUGGAGGGUGAUACUCCCGUUCAUCCCUGAGUUGCUCGUGCGUACGGCCCGUUUUCUUUGAGUCGCGUUGUUUGGGAAUGCAGCGCAAAGUAGGUGGUAAAUUCCAUCUAAAGCUAAAUAUUGGUGCGAGACCGAUAGCGAACAAGUACCGUGAGGGAAAGAUGAAAAGAACUUUGAAAAGAGAGUUAAAGAGUACCUGAAACUGCUGAAAGGGAACCGAAUCGUUUCCAGUGUCUAUAAUCUGUGGCAUAUUUCAUUGGCGAGUGUGUGCGUGCGUGUACUGUGGCAGUGGCUUUUUUGGCUGCGCUCGGUGUGUGUGCUGUGUGUGCUUGCUGGUGCCCUGUGCUGCGGUGGGACGUCAAGGUCAGUUCGUAUGCUGCGGGAAAUGGCUGCCGAGGAGGUAGGGCUUACGCUUGCGUUUGUCUGUUAUAUCUUGGUGGACGAGUAGUCGCGGUUGGGACUGAGGUGCCUACAACGUGCUUUUGAGUGUGUUUGUGUCUCCGUGUGCGCCGUGUGCGGAUAGCUUGCUAUGCGUGUGUGGUUGUGUGUGGAUUGAUGCGGACUUUAACUUGUUGCCGUUCGGGACGUUGACGAAAUGGAGCGAUCCGACCCGUCUUGAAACACGGACCAAGGAGUCUAACAUGUGUGCAAGUGUUAGGGUGUGGAAACCCCAGCGCGAAAUGAAAGUGAAGGGCAGCGUUAGCUGUCUGAGGUAGGAAACGUUGUGGGCUUCGGUCUGCGGCGUGGCACUAUCGACCGAUCAUGAACCUUCGUGGUGAAAGAUUUGAGUUUGAGCACAUAUGUUGGUACCCGAAAGAUGGUGAACUAUGCCUGAGUAGGGUGAAGCCAGGGGAAACUCUGGUGGAAGCUCGUAGCGAUUCUGACGUGCAAAUCGAUCGUCAAACUUGGGUAUAGGGGCGAAAGACUAAUCGAACCAUCUAGUAGCUGGUUCCCUCCGAAAUUUCCCUCAGGAUAGCAGCAACUUAUUUACGAUAGUUUUAUGAGGUAAAGCGAAUGAUUAGAGGAUUCGGGGAAGAAACUUCCUCGACCUAUUCUCAAACUUUAAAUCUGUAAGACCUGCAGGUUUCUUAAUUGAACUUGUGGAUGUGAAUAUCAA